rnacentral:lncRNA from 1 species
GGCCGCUCCCGCGGCACAUGGGGGUUCCCAGGCUAGGGGUCUAUUGGAGCUGUAGCCCGGGGCCUACGCCAGAGCCACAGCAACGCCAGAUCCGAGCCGCAUCUGUAACCUACACCACAGCUCAUGGCAACACCGGAUCGUUAACCCACUGAGCAAGGGCAGGGACUGAACCCGCAACCCCAUGGUUCCUAGUCGGAUUCGUUAACCACUGCGCCACAACAGGAACUCCACCACAGGUUUCUGAUGCUUCUGAUAUAUUCAAUACUUAAUUUUAGUGACUGAAUUUUUCACUUACCUAAUUUUUGGUUUGAUGCAUUUUCAGAUUUUAAGUCUGUGACCACAAUUCUCUCCUUUCCUCUACUUUUAAUAUAUUAAUUAUAAUUAAAGUUCUUUUCUGAAAAUUUUGAUUUCUUUUUAAAUCUUUUAUUCCUUUUGUCCCCUAUUGAUUUGAUGUCAGUCUUUAUUUUUGCCCUGUAUCAUGCUUUAUUGAUUGAAUCCUGGACUUACAAAUGAAAAAACAUAGGGGAUUAUUGCUGAUGCUUUCUUUCUGCAAAGAUGCUUACAUUUUCUUGUCAGGCAGGCAGUGUUUCAGUAAAUAAGAUUUCUCUCUUCAACAAUGGUUUUAGGCUUUGUUGAUCUAUUUUAGUUUUGUGUUUAAUCCUAGAGAAUGAUCCUUGUUUCUAAGGCCAAGUCCUUCUGGGUUCUUAACAGAAAUCCCCAGAUACUUGCGAAGGCCCCUCUUGGCAAGGUUUGAACUCUACUUCUCACAUCCUUGGCUCUGGGUGCAGAAAUCUGUGCUCAGGUCUUUCACUUACUAAAGUUUUGUGCUGGGUUUCAUGGAGUUUUCCUGUUGCAUGAAGAAUUUGGGAGUUAUUCAAUGACUCGAGGAUAUUUGAACGCAGAUUUUGAGACUUGUUUCUCUGUGAUUCCCUCUGCUCCAAAAUAUUGUUCUUCAUAUUUAUGCUGUUGUUGGCCUGGGGUUUGGUCUCUGACUCUUCAGACUCUUCCGUUCACUAAAACGGACACUUACUGCUUGGGGCUCUAUUCCCUGCACUGCCGACCAGAAAAUGUUCUUGGAAAAAAACUCAAGAAUAAUGUGUCCUUCACCUUGUGUGUUACACUUAUCUCAAGUACUGUGGACACUCAGGUACUAUUUAAGUUGGUUGCUCUUCAAUGCAAACAUGUAACCAUGUAUAUCAUAUAUCUAUAUAUUUGUGUGUUUUUAUAUUUAUGUAUAUCUAUGUGGAACGUUAAUCUAAUCCACACUUUGUUGAGUUAUAUCUCUGCCUCUCUUGGUAACUUCAUUCUUUAAUGAACUGCAUUCCACUUCAAUGCAGCCUAUACAUCAUAUACUGAAAUAUUUGCUGUUCUCUAAACAUUGCUCUUUCUUAUUUUCCUAUUUUUACAUAUGGGAUUCCUUCUUUCCUUGAUACCUUUAUCUACUUAAUUGACUUUGUAAAUGUCUACUUGUCUUUCGGGUUGCUACUCAGACAUCUUUAACUGUCUCUUUUUCCCCAACAUGAUGAAUUGGUUAGUUUUUGCAUGCCGAAUGAUGAAUUGGUUAGUUUUUGAAAUGCUGUCCUUAGCUGUCCACAUACAAUUUUCAUAAUACAUUGUAAGAUAUUUAUUUGUCUGUUUUCCUUCCUAGAUUGUAAGUUUUUAUUGAGGGGGAAAUUUUGUGCAUUUUAAUAUCCCCAGGGUCUGCUACUAUAAUGUCUGACAUACAGCAUAAGCUUUGUCAUUCUCAGUGGCUUAAUGAAUAAAUAUUUUUGCCUCCAUCACUAUAGACUUCAUGUUUAGAGAGACUGUUUGAAACAGGUGAGUUUUGGAGUCCUAUUAUUCAUGAUGGGGAAAGCUGUUGAGUAGAGAAAUCUCUUUGUCACUAUCAGUCCAGAGACUCUCCCAGUGGAUAACUGACACUAAUCACACACCUUUAUGUUGGUUGAAUUACUUGGAAACACUAAUUUUGUUUAGCUUACUUUUCCCAACUUAGCUUACCCUUUUAAAGCCGACUUCCUACCCUCCUUACCUCUACACCUCUGAAAAAUGCAACCUGCUCAUUCCACCUUGAAUAAUGCUGUUUAGCCUCCUAUAUUGUUUCUUUCCUCUACACUUAGGCAAAUUCAGCAUAUCCUUCAAGGGCUAGACUAUACCUUGUCCACUCCAUGAAAACUCUCUGGCCACUCCGUGCUGCCUUUUUCCUCCUGUCUCUGAUGGAUCACAGGUCCUCACAGAUUUACAUUCAAUUUGUUUUGGCCAAAUUUUCUAUGGGUUUUAUCUUGCCUUCACAACAGACUAUCUGUUUCUUGUGGACAGUUAGUAGGUUAUUUUAUCUUUCCCCCAUGUUGUCAAAUACUAAAGAAACCAG